rnacentral:rRNA from 1 species
CAGCCGCCGCGGUAAUACGAAGGGGGCUAGCGUUGUUCGGAAUUACUGGGCGUAAAGCGCGUGUAGGCGGGUCUUUAAGUCAGAGGUGAAAUGCCAAGGCUCAACCUUGGAACUGCCUUUGAUACUGGAGAUCUUGAGUCCGGGAGAGGUGAGUGGAAUUGCGAGUGUAGAGGUGAAAUUCGUAGAUAUUCGCAAGAACACCAGUGGCGAAGGCGGCUCACUGGCCCGGAACUGACGCUGAGACGCGAAAGCGUGGGGAGCAAACAGGAUUAGAUACCCGCGUAGUCCCUGUCUCUUAUAC